UGUGGGAGCGAGCUUGCUCGCGAUGGCGGUGGCUCAGUCACAUUGAUGUCGACUGACACUUCGCUAUCGCGAGCAAGCUCGCUCCCACA
rnacentral:misc_RNA from 1 species